rnacentral:rRNA from 1 species
GAUGAACGCUGGCGGCGUGCCUAAUACAUGCAAGUCGAGCGAACGGACGAGAAGCUUGCUUUUCUGAUGUUAGCGGCGGACGGGUGAGUAACACGUGGAUAACCUACCUAUAAGACUGGGAUAACUUCGGGAAACCGGAGCUAAUACCGGAUAAUAUUUUGAACCGCAUGGUUCAAUAGUGAAAGACGGUCUUGCUGUCACUUAUAGAUGGAUCCGCGCUGCAUUAGCUAGUUGGUAAGGUAACGGCUUACCAAGGCAACGAUGCGUAGCCGACCUGAGAGGGUGAUCGGCCACACUGGAACUGAGACACGGUCCAGACUCCUACGGGAGGCAGCAGUAGGGAAUCUUCCGCAAUGGGCGAAAGCCUGACGGAGCAACGCCGCGUGAGUGAUGAAGGUCUUCGGAUCGUAAAACUCUGUUAUUAGGGAAGAACAAAUGUGUAAGUAACUAUGCACAUCUUGACGGUACCUAAUCAGAAAGCCACGGCUAACUACGUG